rnacentral:rRNA from 1 species
AGAGUUUGAUCAUGGCUCAGCGCGAACGCUGGCGGCAUGGCUAAAACAUGCAAGUCGAACGCGAAACCGGCUUCGGCCGGGAGUAGAGUGGCGAACGGGCGAGUAAUGCGUUUCUAACGUGCCCCGAGGUCGGGGAUAGCUCACCGAAAGGUGUGGUAAUACCCGAUGACCUCCGCGGAUCGCAUGGUCUGCGGAGCAAAGGCUUGCUGCCUCGGGAUCGGGAAACGUGCUAUCAGGUAGUUGGUGGGGUAACGGCUCACCAAGCCGAAGACGGCUAGCGGGUGUGAGAGCAUGACCCGCCGCAUCGGAACUGAGACACUGUCCGGACUCCUACGGGAGGCUGCAGUAACGGAUCUUCCGCAAUGCGCGAAAGCGUGACGGAGCAAUGCCGCGUGCGGGAUGAAGCCCCUUGGGGUGUAAACCGCUGUCAGGGCCUAGGAAUUCUGACCAGGCCCAGAGGAAGGACCGGCUAACUUCGUGCCAGCAGCCGCGGUAAGACGAAGGGUCCAAGCGUUGCGCGGAAUCACUGGGCUUAAAGCGUGCGCAGGCGGGUAUGUAAGUGCCUUGUGAAAUCCCACCGCUCAACGGUGGAAUUGCAGGGCAUACUGCAUACCUUGAGGUCGGUAGAGGUGCCCGGAACUGUAGGUGUAGCGGUGAAAUGCGUAGAUAUCUACAGGAACGCCGAAGGUGAAGACAGGGCACUGGGCCGAUUCUGACGCUCAGGCACGAAAGCGUGGGGAGCAAACAGGAUUAGAUACCCUGGUAGUCCACGCCGUAAACAAUGUGUACUAGAUCCGGGAGGUUCUGACACCAUCCGGAUCGAAGCUAAAGUGUUAAGUACACCGCCUGGGGAGUACGGUCGCAAAGGCUAAAACUCAAAGGGAAUUGACGGGGGGCUCACACAAGCGGUGGAGCAUGUUGCUUAAUUCGAUGCAACGCGAAGAACCUUAUCCUGGGUUUGACAUGCAUGGAUGCCCUUCCCGAAAGGGAAGUAAGCUGCUCAUUCGAGUGAAACAUGCACAGGUGCUGCAUGGCUGUCGUCAGCUCGUGCUGUGAAGUGUUGGGUUAAGUCCCUUAACGAGCGAAACCCCUGUCGCUAGUUGCCAGCGGGCCUACGGGUGCCGGGGACUCUAGCGAGACUGCCGGUGUCAAACCGGAGGAAGGCGGGGACGACGUCAAGUCAUCAUGGCCCUUAUGCCCAGGGCUGCUAACGUGCUACAAUGGUCGGUACAGAGCGAAGCAAUGCCGUAAGGCGGAGCAAAUCGCAAAAAGCCGGCCCCAGUUCGGAUCGUGGUCUGCAACUCGACCACGUGAAGUCGGAAUCGCUAGUAAUCGCGCAUCAGCCAUGGCGCGGUGAAUACGUUCCUGAGCCUUGUACACACCGCCCGUCAAGUCAUGGAAGCCGGGAGUGCCCGAAGUCGCACCGAUUCAGGUGCGCCGACGGCAAGCUCGGUGACUGGGACUAAGUCGUAACAAGGUAACC